rnacentral:rRNA from 1 species
CAGCAGCCGCGGUAAUACGUAGGGUCCGAGCGUUGUCCGGAAUUAUUGGGCGUAAAGGGCUCGUAGGCGGUUUGUUGCGUCGGGAGUGAAGACCCAGGGCUUAACUUUGGGCUUGCUUUCGAUACGGGCAGAUUUGAGGCAUUGAGGGGAGAACGGAAUUCCUGGUGUAGCGGUGGAAUGCGCAGAUAUCAGGAGGAACACCGAUGGCGAAGGCAGAUCUCUGGGCCGUAACUGACGCUGAGGAGCGAAAGCGUGGGGAGCGAACAGGAUUAGAUACCCCGGUAGUCCCUGUCUCUUAUAC